rnacentral:lncRNA from 1 species
AUGAUGAGUGUGAGCUGCCGGAGGGUGAGGCCGGCAUCGUCUGGGACGCCAUCUGUUUUACUGUUCUGUUGGCUCAGAGGAGGGUCUUCCUCAGCUACUACUUCCUCUACGUGGUGUCUGACCUCAAGUCAUCCAAGUUAUUGGCCUCCAGAGGUGCUGAGCUUUUUGAGGCAAGGGUGAAGAAGCAGGUCGCAGCCCGACUGGAGAUGGAGAAGAAAUCUGUGCAGACGCUGAAAAAACAGUAAGACACAAGAAAUGCCACACUAAUGAAAUCUGUCUAUGGAUCUGUAUCAUAGUAAUCACGUGUACAAAAUAUUUUCCAGUCGGGUGUACAAAAUAUCCAACAAGCGUUCAACUUUCUACCACAUUUCUUUAUAAAGUCAUGAAUUACUUCUUUUUGUAGAAUGGAGAAGAUUAAAUCUAAACAGAAGGGUCGCCCUGCACCAGCAGACAAACCGGACCCUGCUGCUGACCAGGAGCAGGUGACCCUGGGUAAUACAGGGGAGUUCCUCCUUUCUAUUAGGAAUAAACAAGCCUGAGCCUCUCAUUCUGUUUGUAUUAUUUUGUUAUUUUUAUUUUUAUAUAUGCUGCAUUAAAGAAAACAUUGCCCAAACUACAGGUUCAACAGAUUGAAUUUUUUUUUGUAGAUGACGAUGAAAAGGCAAAGAGAGAUGCAGGAAAAUGGUGGAAGCCUUGGGUCUCGAAGCCUGGAGGUGAAUGUGUAAAUGAUGGAUGUUGGUUCCACAGUUUCUACAGUCCCAUAAUUUGGCCGCUGUUCUUUUUAAUUUAGUGGAAAACAACUGUGGCUAUCACCUGUUUGAGAGCGACAGCGAUGAGGAUGAGGAGGAAGCGGUAGAGAAGAAGGAGGAGGAGGAACCACCGAAGAAGAAAUCUGCCUUCCAGUUGGCCUAUAACGCCUGGGUGACCAGCUCCAAGUCUGCUCUGAAGGACGUGAAGAAGGAGAAGAAGAAAAGAAAGAAAGAAGAGAAGAAGAUGGCAAAGAGGGAGCUGCAGAGCCAGCAAAGUCAGUUCAUUAUAUCAUGAGACUGUUAAGUCUGGCCAGUAGUUGUGGAGAUGAUUCAUAUAUACUGUAAAGCAGCUCCUGAGAGUAUUUAA